rnacentral:rRNA from 1 species
UACGUAGGGUGCAAGCGUUAAUCGGAAUUACUGGGCGUAAAGCGUGCGCAGGCGGCUUGUGAAGACAGAUGUGAAAUCCCCGGGCUCAACCUGGGAACUGCAUUUGUGACUGCAAGGCUGGAGUACGGUAGAGGGGGGAUGGAAUUCCGCGUGUAGCAGUGAAAUGCGUAGAUAUGCGGAGGAACACCGAUGGCGAAGGCAAUCCCUGGACCUGUACUGACGCUCAUGCACGAAAGCGUGGGAGCAACAGG